UGGGGAAUAUUUGACAAUGGGCGCAAGCCUGAUCCAGCCAUGCCGCGGGUGUGAAGAAGGCCUUUUGGGUGUAAAGCACUUUAAGCGAGGAGGAGGCUACUUGGAUUAAUACUCUAAGAUAGUGGACGUUACUCGCAGAAUAAGCACCGGCUAACUAUGUGCCAGCAGCCGCGGUAAUACAGAGGGUGCGAGCGUUAAUCGGAUUUACUGGGCGUAAAGCGUGCGUAGGCGGCUUCUUAAGUCGGAUGUGAAAUCCCUGAGCUUAACUUAGGAAUUGCAUUCGAUACUGGGAAGCUAGAGUAUGGGAGAGGAUGGUAGAAUUCCAGGUGUAGCGGUGAAAUGCGUAGAGGUCUGGAGGAAUACCGAUGGCGAAGGCAGCCAUCUGGCCUAAUACUGACGCUGGGGUACGAAAGCAUGGGGAGCAAACAGG
rnacentral:rRNA from 1 species